GGCCAAUAGGAUUGCUUUAAAUCGCCAUGUCAGCUUAUGACUAUUCCUCUUCCUCUUCACCGAUCGAUUCCUCCGCUGUUACUGUAAUUCACCCUUCGUGAAUCUGUAAUGCUCUUAAAUCCUCUUUUAAUGGUUUCAUUCCAGAUUCUCCUCUUUCUCCUUCUAUACAAAGCCCUAAUCUGAUGUUUAAUCCAAACCCUUAUUCAACAAAAUGGAUUCUACCUCCGCCACACGCCGCCGCAUAAACGCUAUCCACUCCCAUCUCGUCACGUCUUCUCGCUUUUCCCCUCUCCUCCUCAGCUCCAAUCCCACCGCCGGCGACUCUGUCUCGAUAAUGGAUAUAACGUUGUGCUUCCCGAGAAGCUGAGCACUGGCAAGUGAAACGUCUACAGGUUAUAUAUCAACGAUCAUUUUCCUCCUACAGGUUAUAUAUCACCGAGGCAAGAGCAAAUCAUAAGCUGCAUAUGAUGGUACUCCAAGAAGACUGUGUUGCUGAGUUGAACAAUUACAUAGACCCUCUCUACCGGAGAAUUUAGAUGGAAAACUUCUGAGUCGCAUUUUGGAGGUUGAUGGUAAGCUGAAUCCGAAAGUGCAAUACUGAAUCAGGCAUGGUCUUAAGAAAGCUGCUUAGCAGAGCAUACUUGAUGAUUUAAACAAGCAUGACCCAGGGUUCACACAGCCUUCUGUUUCAGGAGCAACGCCACAAGUGGUUCCAACCAACCUGCACUGCCGCUGGUAAUCACUAAUCCGGAAUGUAUCGAUUUUGUCCUUAUUAGAGGUCUUCUUCCAAAAUCACGUUUUAGGUUCAAGUUUGGUACCAUGCAAGCUGUUACUGGUCAGUAGGAAGACUUUGGACGCUAUAAUGUUGUUGAAGAGCUCGAGAUUCUGAAACGGUCGACCAUGAAUCCUUUGGUGUUGGGUGCCACAUCUGGCAGUGAUCUACUAUAUAACGCAGUACAGUGGUGUUAGGAAACUGGAGACUGUUACAGUGGCGGAGGUGAAUGCCUACGUUCUGAACUCACCCCUAAGAAGAUUUACUGAUCUAAAGGGGUCAGCCGGUCAGGAAAACCAACAAGAAAGGCCUGAAGAGCUUAGUUUUCUUCAUGAAGCACUGUCAUGAAACCACUCUAUCGUAACUCCCAGUGCUUAAUAUUAUUUCUAUAAAUUUUAUGCUAUGCAAAUAAGGGAUUGGGCACUUAGGUGUCUUUGUCUCACUUCUGAUUUUCAUACACCCUGAAUUUUUUGGCUUUUUAAAAUAUGAAUUACUUCUUAGUUUCCACAUAAAUCAAAUGUUCAGCCUUUGUUAUUUAUCUA